AGCAGAUGACUGGGCGUAAAGUGUGCGUAGGUGGUGGUUUAAGUCCGUUGUGAAAGCCCUGGGCUCAACCUGGGAAUUGCAGUGGAUACUGGAUCACUAGAGUGUGGUAGAGGGAUGCGGAAUUUCUGGUGUAGCAGUGAAAUGCGUAGAGAUCAGAAGGAACAUCCGUGGCGAAGGCGGCAUCCUGGGCCAACACUGACACUGAGGCACGAAAGCGUGGGGAGCAAACAGGAUUAGAUACCCUGGUAGUCCACGCCCUAAACGAUGCGAACUGGAUGUUGGGUGCAACUUGGCACCCAGUAUCGAAGCUAACGCGUUAAGUUCGCCGCCUGGGGAGUACGGUCGCAAGACUGAAACUGAAAAAAUUGACGG
rnacentral:rRNA from 1 species